rnacentral:rRNA from 1 species
AUUGAACGCUGGCGGCAGGCCUAACACAUGCAAGUCGAGCGGAUGAAGGGAGCUUGCUCCUGGAUUCAGCGGCGGACGGGUGAGUAAUGCCUAGGAAUCUGCCUGGUAGUGGGGGAUAACGUCCGGAAACGGGCGCUAAUACCGCAUACGUCCUGAGGGAGAAAGUGGGGGAUCUUCGGACCUCACGCUAUCAGAUGAGCCUAGGUCGGAUUAGCUAGUUGGUGGGGUAAAGGCCUACCAAGGCGACGAUCCGUAACUGGUCUGAGAGGAUGAUCAGUCACACGGAAAGUGAACACCGUCCCAGACUCCUACGGGGGGAGGCGGGGGGGAUUUUUGGAGAAGGGGCGAAAGCUGGACCCAGCCAGGCGGGGGGUGUGAAAAAGUUCUUCGAAUUGUAAAGCCUUUUAAGUGGGGAGAAAGGGCAGUAAGUAAAUCCCUUGUUGUUUUGACGUUCCCAAAAAAAAAAGCCCCGGCUAACUUGGUC